GUGGACUUCUCUGACAUGACUCCAUCUCACCAGCAGCAGCUCCCUGUGACCUGCUGCAAUGUCUCCCACUGGACCACAGCCUCCUCCCAGGCAGCCACCCGCUCCAGUGUGGGCUCCUCCACAGGCGGCAGGUGGAUCUCUGCAUUCCCCCAUGGACCCUCCAAGGGCUACAGGGGCGCAGCUGCCUCACCAUGGGCUGCACCAGGGGCUGCAGGGGAAUCUCCACCGGCUCCUGGAGCACCUCCUGCCACUCCCUCACUGAUGUUGGUGUCUGCAGAGCUGUCCUCUCACGUGUUCUUACUCCACUCUUCUCUAGUCACAACCAAAACUGUGCAACGACCUUUGUUUAGAUUUCUUCUUAAAUAUGUUAUCACAGAGGUGUUAUCCCCAUUUCUAAUUGGCCCAGAUUUGAACGCCAGUCCAUCUUUGGAGCCAGCAGGGAUUGGAUCUUCAGGACAUGGUUAGAGCUUCUAGCAGCUUCUCACAAAAGCCACCAAUGUGGCCCCUCAAUACCAAAAACUCUGCCAGGCAAAACCAAUACAAAUGGCGUUAAAUGAAAUGUCAAACAUUGAAAAUUCUGAAGUAAAACAACAAAAUUAAAUUGAAGAGAAAGGAAGUUGAAUUAAUCUGAAACUUCAAGAAAUUAUUGUCAAAGAAACCUCAAGAUUUCAUUUCCAUUCAGAAUUUUCAUGUUUUCCAAUUUCAUUUCAUGUCAUUGUAUUUCCUUCCCUGUAUUUCCAUUUCAUUUCAUUCUCUGAUUUCAAGAUUUCAUUUCCCUUCAUGACAUGAAAUUCUUCAUUCAUUCAUGAAGGGAAAUAUAGUCUCAUGAUUUCAAUGAGGAUCAAUUCAGCAAGUUUGGGACUAUUUCAUCACAGUUAAUGUCAUCUCCUUUGCUUUAGAAGUUUUCACUUUCAUUCAGAAUUUUUUUUUAGCAUUUCAUUUCAUCAAUUUCUUCUCCAGUCUCUUCAUUUCAAUUUGUUCUCUGAUUUCAAGAGUUCAAUGUGUAUGAUUUUGGCAAGGUUCUGUCCUUUUCACUACCCCUCAUUUCAUUCCCAACCCAUCUGUUGUAUUCACUCAGUUUCUUCUUUUUUACUUGCUUUUGAUUUCAUCAUAUAACCUUUCUAGUUUGUUUGUUUCACUUUCUUCUAUGAUUUCAAGAUUUUAUUUCCUUGCAUGAAAUGAAAUUCUUCAUUUCAUGAAAGGAAAUUAAAUGAGAAAUCAAGGAAGGAAGUGUAACAGAAGGACAGGGAAGGAAGUAUAAUGACAUGAAAUGGAACUGGAAAAACCAAAAAAUUCUGAAAUGCAAUUAAAUUAAUGAAAAGGAAUGGAAAAAAAGGAAGCAAAACUAAUUAAAAGGUAUUGAAAGAAAGGAAGUGCAUUGAAAUGAGUGGAAACUUCAUUACAUGAUUUUCACUGAAACUUUAACAUUUCAUUUCCUUUCAUGAAAAAAAGGAAAAGGAAAGGA
rnacentral:lncRNA from 1 species